rnacentral:lncRNA from 13 species
GUCCAACGUGAAUGUGUUUCUGUUCUUGUGGGCUGGACCCUCCAACCAGUCUAACCCAUUGAGACUAAACCAGCCCCCUUACUGCAGCCUGCCUCCUCCUCUCAGGGCUCGUGUGAACUGCCCACAUCACUUCCCACUGACGGUGAAGGACCUGGAUGGGGACACAGUGCUCUGUCGCUUUGCCCAGGCUGACCUUGGAGAAUGCCUUGACUGCCCCCAGUACAACUUUCUGAAGAUGGAGGAGGAGACGUGUACGUUGUUGUACAACGGUAAAUCAUCCGCUGGCCAAUACUCUGUGCAGCUGAUGGUGGAGGACUUUUCAGGCCAAACCCAAACCAACAAACCCAAAGCACUCAGUUCCAUCCCACUGCACCUGUCCCUUACAGUGGAGGAGGCGUCCUCAAGCUGCACUGCUGAGCCGGUCACUACAGGACUGACACCAACAGGGGGAGCCACUAUCUACGUUCUGCCCUAUGAGCAGAUCAACGUGUCUGUCACCUUUCAUUCUGACCUAGAGAGCGUGUCAGAAAUAGUGGUGGUUGGUCCCCCUGGCCUCUUCAGGACAGCGCUGGAAACCAAGGGUUCCCUGGCCACCAUGAAUCUCACAUGGGUCCAGAGCCCCAGUAACAUGCCCUCCCCUCUUUUGCCCCUUUGUUUCCUGGCCAACACCAACAGUUUGCAGUCUGAACCCAGAUGUGUGUGGCUUUACCAAAGUAAGGGCAAGAACAAUCACAGUUCUUCCACUCUGUGUGUGUGUGUGUGUGUGUGUGUGUGUGUGUGUGNNNNNNNNNNGGUACCAUUAGUGCAACAGCAGCAACAACUACAACAGCCUCGAAUGCUCCGACUGAGGACUCAAACAUGGCAGUGGGCGUGGUCUUGGCUGUCAUUCAUGUCUUACUUCAAGGCCUGCUUCAUCACUGAAGAGAACAAGGCUUAUAAUUCCAAUGUUGUUCAAUUGUAGCUCUCGUGAAUUACUGCAUACUAAUUUACAUCAUAAGAAGCCAAUGGAAUUAAUGAUAUGACACACUUUUUACAUUGAAUGGGUCGUUUUUCAAGAUAAUUAUUUUGUACAGUAAAACUCCCCAUGGUGGUUUCUACAUUUUCUCUGAGGACAUUGGUAGACUUACAUUGCAUCAAAACUCGAAAUUUGUGCAUGUAAAGCACGAAACACCGAGAAUCUCACUGCUGAAAGGUACUUAUCACAGCGGGUGGCAUUCCUUCUCUUGCUCGAGAAAAAGCGGUAGCUGCUGCGUGACAACCUGGUAGCGAGGAAUUGUGUCUGUGUAUUGUCACAAUACUCUGACAAUUUUACCAGGCAAACGUUUGACAAUCUUACUGGUGUGUCUGAGCUUUAGCUAUUUUUAACUGCUGUUUAUAACUAUUUUCGU